GCCUAAAAUCUAGCCUAUUAACAUUUAGAUAACUCCAUCCCCUUAUAGAUGUAAACAAAACAUUUUCCUAUUUUAGUACAGGCGAUCGAAAAAUUUCUAAGCGCUUCAGAUAUAGUACCGCAAGGGAAAAAUGAAAUAGAACUGAAAUAACCUUAAAGCCCUAAAUAGCAGAGAUAUAAUCUUGUACCUUUUGCAUCAUGGUCUAGUAAGUUUACACAAGCAAAAUGAAACUUUUAGUUUGACAUCCCGAAACUAAGCGAGCUACUUCGAAACAGCCCAUAGAGCUAACCCGUCUCUGUUGCAAAAGAGUGGGAAGAUUUCUAAGUAGAGGUGAUAAGCCUACCGAGAUUAGAGAUAGCUGGUUGUUCAGGAAAAGAGUUUUAGCUCUACCUUAAGUUUCUUUAUGAUUUUAAACAGACCUCAAGACUUAAGAGCUAUUCAAAUAAGGCACAGCUUAUUUGAAGUAGGAUACAACCUAUUUUAUAGGGUAAAUAAUAAUGUAUUAAAAUAAAGUGGGCCUAAAAGCAGCCAUCUUUUAAAAAGCGUUAAAGCUUAACUUAUAUUACUUACAAUUCCGAAUAUUACAAUUAACCCUUUAAUUCUACUGAACUAUUUUAUAUUUUUAUAAAAGUAAUUAUGCUAGAACUAGUAACAAGAAAUUGAUUUUCUCCUAAAUGUAAGCUUACACCAAAAUGGACCAUCCAUUGGUAAUAAACGCAGAUGAAAAAAUUAUAGCAACCUUCCAGAAAACCCUAUAUAUCCACAGCGUUAAUCUUACACUAGAACAUUUCAGGAAAGAUUUAAAGAGAAAGAAGGAACUCGGCAAAUUUUAGCCCCGCCUGUUUACCAAAAACAUCGCCUCUUGACAAAAUAUAAGAGGUCCAGCCUGCCCAGUGAUAAAUUUAACGGCCGCGGUAUCCUAACCGUGCGAAGGUAGCAUAAUCAUUUGUUCUUUAAAUGGGGACUUGUAUCAACGGCACCACGAGGGCCAUACUGUCUCCUUUCUCUAGUCAGUGAAACUGAUCUCCCCGUGAAGAAGCGGGGAUUUAACUAUUAGACGAGAAGACCCCAUGGAGCUUAAAACUCACUAUAUAAUUCUGUACCUCAUAUCACCUUAAUUCAGAAUCCUAUAUGCUAGUUUUAGGUUGGGGGGACCUCGGAGUAUAAUUUAACCUCCAUAACAAAUGGGCUAAUACCCUUAUCCAAGAUAAACACCUCUAAGAAUUAUUAAAUUAAUGUUUAAUGACCCGAUAUAUUCGAUCAAUGAACCAAGUUACCCUGGGGAUAACAGCGCAAUCUACUUCAAGAGUCCAUAUCGACAAGUAGGUUUACGACCUCGAUGUUGGAUCAGGGUAUCCUAAUGGUGCAACCGCUACUAAUGGUUCGUUUGUUCAACG
rnacentral:rRNA from 1 species